AAGCUGCCUCCUAAUUAAUUGUUCAACACAUCAAAUGCGUGAUCUUCAUCUUCUGCGAGAGCCUAAAGGUUUAUUGGAAGAUCAUAUAUGGUUGUGGAGGAUUCAAAGAUUUGGGGGAGUGGAAAUGCUGUGAAGGAACCUAAAGGGAAUCAUCCGAAAUGCUCAAACAUUAGCAAUGAUGAUUUCGCGUUUAUCAUGAAUACGACCUUUUGCUCAACAAAAUGAGGUAGUUGAUGCGAGUGAGAAUACAGAAGUCAACGUAACAGAGCGUACAAAUCUUGAUAGAAUUAGAUAUGGUAUGGUUGAAGCUGGAUGCCAAGACACAACUGAGAGUUCAAGUUCUUUUGAGGAAUCUAUUUCCGGAGUUGAUGAAUCUAAUCUUUGUGGUGACGUUACGUCACCAGUAGCAUUUGGUGAAGUCGGUGAUAUAUUAAGCAUGAGGGGACAUUGAUGUUGAGUCGGUAGUGGGUGAAGAUGUGGUAGCACCCUUGCCACCACCCCCCGUUGAUGUG